rnacentral:rRNA from 1 species
GACGAACGCUGGCGGCGUGCUUAACACAUGCAAGUCGAACGGAAAGGCCCUGCUUUUGUGGGGUGCUCGAGUGGCGAACGGGUGAGUAACACGUGAGUAACCUGCCCUUGACUUUGGGAUAACUUCAGGAGACUGGGGCUAAUACCGGAUAGGAGCUCCUGCUGCAUGGUGGGGGUUGGAAAGUUUCGGCGGUUGGGGAUGGACUCGCGGCUUAUCAGCUUGUUGGUGGGGUAGUGGCUUACCAAGGCUUUGACGGGUAGCCGGCCUGAGAGGGUGACCGGCCACAUUGGGACUGAGAUACGGCCCAGACUCCUACGGGAGGCAGCAGUGGGGAAUAUUGCACAAUGGGCGGAAGCCUGAUGCAGCAACGCCGCGUGCGGGAUGACGGCCUUCGGGUUGUAAACCGCUUUCGCCUGUGACGAAGCGUGAGCGACGGUAAUGGGUAAAGAAGCACCGGCUAACUACGUG